GGAUUAGAUACCCUGGUAGUCCACGCCCUAAACGAUGUCAACUAGCUGUUGGGGGCUUCGGCCCUUAGUAGCGCAGCUAACGCGUGAAGUUGACCGCCUGGGGAGUACGGUCGCAAGAUUAAAACUCAAAGGAAUUGACGGGGACCCGCACAAGCGGUGGAUGAUGUGGAUUAAUUCGAUGCAACGCGAAAAACCUUACCUACCCUUGACAUGUCUGGAAGCUUUAAGAGAUUAGAGCGUGCUCGCAAGAGAACCGGAACACAGGUGCUGCAUGGCUGUCGUCAGCUCGUGUCGUGAGAUGUUGGGUUAAGUCCCGCAACGAGCGCAACCCUUGUCAUUAGUUGCUACGAAAGGGCACUCUAAUGAGACUGCCGGUGACAAACCGGAGGAAGGU
rnacentral:rRNA from 1 species